rnacentral:pre_miRNA from 1 species
CGGGGCCGCCGCUCUCCCUGUCCUCCAGGAGCUCACGUGGGUCUGGCUGUGAGCGCCUUGAGGGCAGAGCCCGCGGCCGCCUC